UUAAGUACAUAGAUAUAUACUACAAACCUUAAAUUCUGCUUCUAGAAAUGUAUUUUGUAAAAUUUACUCAUGUGAAACUACAUUUGCACACAGUACUUUUUCUUAAGAGUGAAAGAUGUCCAGUCAAAUAAGACUUGUUUGUUUGUUUGUUUGUUUGUUUCUCAGACAACUUUUCUAAACAGGAAAGACAUAAUGUACAAAGUGGCCAGCUACAAUCUAUUAUAAUUGGACAUUAGCUCACAAAAAGCAUAUUCAUACCUUUUAGAAGGAAGAAAGAUGAGCCAAUGUGUUGCUUUAGUUGGUAUUUCCAAGUAUAAUUUACAUCUUUUCUCCAGUUUGUACUUGUUUUUUUGUUUUUAUAAGUAAUGCAUUUCAUUUUUACGGCCAUGUAAAGGUAGUUAGCAAGGGACGUACAUUUAAGUCAUCCUUUUGGUUAACUUUAUCUUGGUGCCCUCAUGGUAACAGUUAAUUAUGGAGUUAGUUCAGUGAGGAGUAAGAGGGAUAUUUUAGAGUUAGUCAGGUGGAAUUUCUGAAAGCCACUGUUAACUCUUGUCUGUGCAUUGCUUUCUCACGGGUUUUUCUAUUAAAAAAAAAAACCCAAGUAACUAACAUACAUAUUUGAUUGUAAACUCCCAAAUCCAAAUGUGAGCUGGCUUCAUUAAGUAGGUACACUCCUAGUUUUUGACCUUGAAUUGACAACCGACUGUUUUCAAAUGGUUUGAGUUAUUAAUGCAGAAUUUUCGUUCCCUCUGUCUGUGUGUGAAUGUGCAUGCACUGGUGGGGACCAGAGGGGGCGCUGCUUGUUUUUCCCCAGUCACUUUCAGGUUUUCUGUGUUGUGUUUGUUUGUUUGUGAUGGGAUUUUACAGAACCUGGAGCUUAAUCAUUUAGCAGACUGGCUGGGGAAAGCUCUUGGGAUCUGCCUGCCUCCACCUUCACCCUCAGUUGGAGCCCACAAGUUUGAGAUGAAUGCAUACCACCAGGACCCACUUUGACAUGUGACAGAGAUGUGUGCUCCGACCCUAGUGCUGUGCAGCCACACUGAACAUUCUCUCCAGCCCAUUUUAUUUUUUUUUUAAAGAAGCAUUAACAUUUUUUUUGAUGUUUUCUCCGGGUUUUAUGCUGUGCCUAUAAAAUGUAAGGUAUUGUGCUAAGGAAGCAGAAUUUUAUGUUCUAGUUCUCUCUUUUUGAGGUGGAUCUCAGUAUCCCAGGCUGGACUUGAACUCCUGUGUGCAGUGUUACAGGCAUGCUACCAGCAGAUUUAGCUGUUGCUGUGGAGAGGGAUGUCUUCUGUCUGGUUACCAGGAAGAAUCCCAGCAUCUGCCUAUGCCUGUGUAGUAUCCAUGCAGUGUAGAGAUUGACCUGCGCCGUCUCUGGGUCACUGUAGCUAGGAGUCAUUAGGAUAAUGCAUUUUGAGUAGGUGGGUGUUCAAGGUUUGAAAUCAGUGCAAAGGACACGUCGACAGAUAUUUUUAAUACUGAAGCAGGUUACUUCUUACCCUUGUGAGUCUAUCACUGUGAGAGGUUUAAAUCCCAUGUUUGAAAGGCUAAACGAUGUACAUACUUAGGUAUAAAUUAUUGCUCACUUUGCAAUGGAUAACUCUGAAAAGACUUCUAAGGAAAAUAAAGGGUUUUGUUGUUUUGUUUUAUUUCUGAGUGUAUGUGAUAGUAGACUGAGAAAUUCACAUACCUACCUAGUUCUUAGAAUGUUUGGAUGUUGCUUUAUAUGGUCAAAAACAUGGGGAGUGCUUUUUGCUGGUGUGAUUUAGUUAUCAUGAGAAUAAGACUAUUGUCAAUUAUUUCUUGUAUGUCAUCACGUGUGUCCUUUUAAGAGUAAGGUAGAGGGAGAUUUUUCUUUACCUUAUGACAUAAAUCAGAAGCUGAAGUAAGGACAGAGCAGAAUGAGAUUUCAAAAUGUUUUCUUUACCUGUGUAUGGUGGUGCAUAGCAGUUCCAGGACAUCCAGGACAUUAGGGAGGUCUUAAUCUCCAUUUUUAAAAAAAAGUGGAUUUAAAGAUUUAUGUGGUUAGACGGUGUCGUCCCUGGAGGCUACAGAAGCCAGAAGCAUUCAAGGGCCUCCUGACAUUUCCAAGGGAGUGCAUUUCUGAUAACAUGCUGUGAUGGUUUGUAUAUGCUUGGCCUAGGGCACCAUUAGGAGACCUUGUUUGAGUAGGUGUGUCACUGUGGGCAUGGGCUUUUAAGACCCUCAUCCUAGUUAUCUGGGAGCCAGUCUUCUCCUAGCCUCCUUCAGAUGAAAAUGUAGAACUCUCAACUCCUGUACCUUGCCUGCCUGCCUGGAUGUUUCCAUGCUCCCACCUUGAUGAUUGAUAAUGGACUGAACCUCUGAACCUGUAAGCCAGCCUCAGUUAAAUGUUAUCUUUAUAAGAGUUGCCUUGGUCAUGGUGUCUGUUUCCAGCAGUAAAACCCUAACUAAGACAGAAGUUGAUAACCCGGGACUGGGCUAUUGCUGUGAUAGGCCUGACCGGGCUUUUUGGAAGAAUGUGUGUGGACUUUGGAUUUGGAAAUUCUUUAACUGGGGCCUAAUGGAGAGUCCUAGUAGGACUAUGGAAUACUUUGUUGCUGAGAGCGAUUUGAUCUGUGGAAACCUGGUCCUAGAGGUUUCAGUGGCCCAGAGACUGUUUCUGUGGUAUUUUGGUGAAGAAUAUGGCUGCUUUUUGCCCUUGUCUGAAGAGUCUACCUGAGGCAAAAGUAAAGAGAUUUUUAUAUGCAUUGAUAAAGGAAGUCUCAAAAAAGCCCAACAGACUUUGUUCUCUGGCUAAGUCUCAUGAAGAGAAUUUUGAACAAUCAUAGCAAGUUUAGAGAGGAAAAAUAUU
rnacentral:lncRNA from 1 species